AUUCAACUGAAGAGUCCCAAAAUAGGACGAAACGCGCGUCAAACUAUCUGUCGUUGCUUGAAG
rfam:Schistosoma mattheei strain Denwood, Zambia genome assembly, scaffold: SMTD_scaffold0005954